AGUAACGCGUGGGCAACCUGCCCCCAUAGAGGGGGACGAACAGCUGGAAACGGCUGCUAAUACCGCAUAACAAGGAGAGAGCGCAUGUUCUUUUCUUCAAAGAUUUAUCGCUAUGGGAUGGACCCGCGUCUGAUUAGCUGGUUGGUGAGGUAACGGCUCACCAAGGCGACGAUCAGUAGCCGGCUUGAGAGAGUGGACGGCCACAUUGGGACUGAGACACGGCCCAGACUCCUACGGAAGGCAGCAG
rnacentral:rRNA from 1 species